UACGUAGGGAGCAAGCGUUGUCCGGAAUCAUUGGGCGUAAAGCGCACGUAGGCGGCCUCGUAAGUCCGUUGUGAAAGUCAAAGGCUCAACCUUUGAAAGCCGAUGGAUACUGUGAGGCUAGAGUCCGGAAGAGGCGAGUGGAAUUCCUGGUGUAGCGGUGGAAUGCGCAGAUAUCAGGAGGAACACCAAUAGCGAAGGCAGCUCGCUGGGACGGUACUGACGCUAAGGCGCGAAAGCGUGGGGAGCGAACAGG
rnacentral:rRNA from 1 species